UUUAAAUCAAGUAUUUCCAUUAGUUAUUUUCCAAGCUAAUAAAAUAUUUACGAUUAAUGAUUGUUUAAUGUUCAAUUGCAGUUUGGAUUACUCUUGUCUCUCUAAGUAAUGAAUCAUGAAAAGUUACUGGUUUCAUCUGUUUCUUACUUGGAUUAAAUUGUUUUGUUUUUUAAACAGUGAUUAGCUGAUUAAAUCCUUUAAUUUUACUGUAUCAUUUGAUUAGAAAUGCUUUUCAUCAUAAAUUGUCUCCAGUCGAUUAAAUUACGAAUGUGCUGAUUGUUUUCACUGAUUUCUUGUGAUUAAUGAUGUUAAUUAACAGAUAAAAGAGUAUACGGGCAUCCAUUUUGGUUACAUUUCACCCAUCAGCUUAUUCAAAAGCUGACAUCUUCUCACCAGCUUUUUCAAUGUAACCCAUUGUAAAGGAAUGGCAUUUUAUCUCCUGUUUUCCAAAUUUUUUCACCACCAAAUCAAAGUGAAACAAUUUGAAUUACUUUUACUCUCAAUAAGCAACCUUAUUACUUUUAAUCAACACAACGUUAAUGCUUAAAUGUUUAACUCUCUUUCAUCAAAAUCAGUCAUAAUUUGACUGAAGGCCAAAUUAUUGGUAAACUAUUAGCCCUUUACUAUAAGGAUAGCAGUCAUUUUUUUGGACCAAUUCAACCACCGAAUGCAGCAAACUUUGGAGUGAACCAAAUGUGAAUCAAUAUUGGAUAAACCUUUUUUUGUGGUAGAUUUGGUUUAAAUCCAGCUCAUUGGAAAUGGAAAAGUAGUAUUGUUUUGUGCAAUGUUUGGCUCUUCUUCAACAAUCAAACGCUUCACUUGAAACACAAUACUCUCCUGUUUACUGAUUACUUUUUGUAACCAGCAAAAAAGGCGAUUGGACGGUUGGAAGGUCAAUUAUUGGUGUUUUUGUUAAAAAAUUAUUUACCUGGUUGGUUUUGGUUAAAUAUUAUUCUCGGGUGGAGAGAAACUCAAACAGCUGAAGGUUUGAUUAUACAGUCAAUUGGAAGGCUUGAUUGAAGGCAGACACCAUUUCGAUCAUCAUCUCAAUCAUCAACAUCAUUAGAAUAUAUUUGUUAACCCAUUAUUUUGUUCUGUAUUACAAUGUUUUCACUUCUUUUUACCUCUCUCUCUCUCUCUCUUUCUAUCCCCAUUACCUCUUUAGGUUACUUCAUGAUGAUUCUGUGUAUUUCAGCAUUCACUAAAGACAAUUAAGUUUACCUGUUACUCAAAAUCACUGGUAAAGGUCAACGUUUCGUUUCCUUGUUUAUAUUUAGUAAAUGAAUCUGGUUUACUUUUACAUUUUAAACAAUUAGCCUAAAUAGUAAAUAGACUUGUCAACGUUUCAGUUAUAUGCGAAAUCAGAGAGCAGAUUAACAUUUAAUUCAACAUCCAUCCAUCUGAUAAUUUUAAAAGUCAACAAGCAACAUUUAAUCUCUUUGGUUAAUUCAAUGUUUCCUUCAUUAAAUCAUCUAUCAUGGUAAUUGAUCAUCAAACUGGUUAAUUGUCGCCGUCUUUUGACCAUUUAAACCUUCAUCUUCAUCAAGCCUGCUUUUCAAUUGACUAAUGCCAUACAAACAUUGAAAAAAAAUGUUUCCUUCAAUUGAAUCUCUUUAAACACAGAAGAAUCAACAACUAAGAUUUCAAUCAUCAUUAAACAUCUCAAUUGUGCCAUUAGAUAGUUAAAUUACUUUUAUAAAUCACUUUUGAUUAAACAAAAUAACAAUAAUCUUGCUGUUGUUGGGUGUUGAACCUGAUCUUGAAAGAUUCAUUUUGUCAUACAUUUGUAUUUACAUUUAUUCAGAUAACUUGCAAUGUUAAUCAUGAUUUAUAAAAAUAUGAAAGCAACAAUAAUCCAAAUAAUAAUUGAAAUAAUUGCAAGUUUGAUUGGCUUUCAUUACAAUUUUGGGUGUUGAAUCGGUUAAUUUAUCCUCAAUCAGCUUUUGAUAUCUUCUGAUUUUCGGGAUUGGCUUUUAACCUCUUUGGUUUGUUAUCAAACUUAGGCUUCAUCUCUGAUUAAUUGUUAUUAAGUGACCUACAAUUGAAUUAAUAAUUAAUGAUUAACCUUUUUCUGACAGUUGAUGUAAAUUAAUUGAUUGGGAACAGAAAUGAAUACAAGAAGAAAAAAACUGAUUUCAUUUCAACAGUUGUAACUUUUCAAUGGUUACCGGUUAAUGUCCUAAUACACUUUUAAUGUAAUCAAAUAAUAUUUUACCCAAAAAAACAACAACAAAAUUGAUAUAUUAACUUGUUUCAAAUGCAAUUCAACUCAACAAUCAACAAGAAGAAAUAUUUUUAAAUCAUUUCAUUAAUCAAAAGGCAGUUUUCUUGGAUCCACUAAUCAACUCAUUAAAUGUUAAUAAAUCCAUCCA